GUUACUUUCUCAUAGUACUUAGAUUAUUUACACAGUCAAGAAUAUCGGGUGAAUAUGGGAAUUGGCAACACUUAUUGGAUUAGCCAGAUGCGUUAUUAAUAAGACCAGUGGACAGCUAUGUAUGUAGCAAUGUGUGAUUUAUUGAAAUUUUUUAAUAGCAGAGCCCUUACAAUACACAGAUUAAACUCUAUUUUAAUUUUAUUUUUAUACCUUAUGAUAUGAUUUACGUUUUAAACAGAGGCACAGAGUACCCUAAGUGAACGCAGUGUACUGCCAGUAUUGGGCAGACACAGUGAAUGUUUUAUUUUUCUUUGCUUGUAUUAUCAAUAACAAUAUCAAAAUAUUAAACAUA